UGGGCUGGCCGCGGAGUGCCCGUCCCCUGUCCCUUUAAGGAGGAGGGACGAGCACAACCGGUGUGGCCCCGACCCCGUCCGCGCUCUCAUCCUAGAGCAGCUGCAGCCACAGCUCCGGCCGCCUCUCGCUUGGCAGAGUCCGCUUGGCCCCAGGAAGCAAGUCGCCACCAUGGUGAAGAUCGUGACCGUUAAGACCAAGGCGUACCAAGACCAGAAGCCGGGCACGAGCGGGCUGCGGAAGCGGGUGAAGGUGUUUCAGAGCAGCUCCAACUAUGCCGAGAAUUUCAUCCAGAGUAUCAUCUCCACCGUGGAGCCGGCGCAGCGGCAGGAGGCCACCCUGGUGGUGGGCGGGGACGGCAGGUUCUACAUGAAGGAGGCCAUCCAGCUCAUCGUCCGCAUCGCCGCCGCCAACGGGAUUGGUCGCUUGGUUAUUGGACAGAAUGGGAUCCUCUCCACGCCUGCUGUAUCAUGCAUCAUUAGAAAGAUCAAAGCCAUCGGUGGGAUCAUUCUGACAGCCAGCCACAACCCAGGAGGACCCAAUGGAGAUUUUGGAAUCAAGUUCAAUAUUUCCAAUGGAGGUCCUGCCCCGGAAGCAAUAACUGAUAAAAUUUUCCAAAUCAGCAAGACAAUCGAAGAAUAUGCAAUUUGCCCUGACCUGCACGUAGACCUUGGGGUUCUGGGAAAGCAGCAGUUUGACCUGGAAAACAAGUUCAAACCCUUCACAGUGGAAAUUGUGGAUUCAGUGGAAGCUUAUGCUACAAUGCUGAGAAAUAUCUUUGAUUUCAACGCGCUGAAAGAACUGCUUUCUGGUCCAAACCGACUAAAGAUCCGUAUAGACGCCAUGCACGGAGUCGUGGGACCAUAUGUGAAAAAAAUCCUCUGUGAAGAACUCGGCGCCCCUGCGAACUCGGCAGUGAACUGCGUUCCCCUGGAGGACUUCGGAGGCCACCACCCUGACCCCAACCUCACCUACGCAGCUGACCUGGUGGAGACUAUGAAGACAGGGGAGCAUGAUUUUGGGGCUGCCUUUGAUGGAGAUGGGGAUCGGAACAUGAUUCUGGGCAAGCACGGGUUCUUCGUGAACCCUUCAGACUCUGUGGCUGUCAUUGCUGCCAACAUCUUCAGCAUUCCAUACUUCCAGCAAACUGGGGUCCGUGGCUUCGCACGCAGCAUGCCCACCAGUGGUGCCCUGGACCGGGUGGCUAAUGCUACAAAGAUCGCUUUGUAUGAGACCCCAACUGGCUGGAAGUUUUUUGGGAAUCUGAUGGAUGCAAGCAAACUAUCCCUUUGUGGGGAAGAGAGCUUCGGGACUGGUUCUGACCACAUCCGUGAGAAAGAUGGUCUCUGGGCUGUCCUUGCUUGGCUCUCCAUUCUAGCCACCCGCAAACAGAGUGUGGAGGACAUUCUUAAAGAUCACUGGCAAAAGUAUGGGCGGAAUUUCUUCACCAGGUAUGAUUAUGAGGAGGUGGAAGCCGAGGGCGCAAACAAAAUGAUGAAGGAGUUGGAGGCCCUGAUUUCUGAUCGCUCCUUCGUGGGGAAACAGUUUCCAGUGGGUGACAAAGUUUACACCGUGGAAAAAAUUGAUAACUUUGAGUACAGCGAUCCGGUGGAUGGAAGCAUUUCAAGAAAUCAGGGCUUGCGGCUCCUUUUUGCAGACGGUUCUCGCAUCAUCUUUCGACUGAGCGGCACUGGGAGCGCGGGCGCCACCAUCCGACUGUACAUCGACAGCUACGAGAAGGAUCUCGCCAAGAUCUACCAGGACCCCCAGUCAUGUUGGCCCCCCUUUCCAUUGCCCUGA
rnacentral:lncRNA from 1 species